rnacentral:rRNA from 1 species
GUUGCUCUAUAUACACCCGAAGGCAAGCGAUCUUUUCCAGAGCAGAUUGAAGGGAGGUUAAGUACCAUCCUGGAGGAUCGAACUAGUGACCGUGGUAAAGGUCUUAGAUGACUUUGGAAAAGGAGUGAAAGGCUAAUCAAGCUUGCGCAUAGCUGGUUUUUGGCGAAAAGCAUUAACGUGCUCUGUGUAUGGCAUAGAAAAAGUCAGUAGGGUUACUGACAGAUUGGGGGUGCUCUAAACACCUACCUUUGUAUCAAAACUAACAAAGACUUUUUUCUGAACCUAUGCAAUUAGGCCCUGGAUGCUAAGGUCCUGGGCCGAAAGGGAUACAACCUACAAAAUUCUUAAUGGUUUCCAACUUUAUACUAAGGGGCAAUGGCAAUGAACGCUGAAUGAUCCUAGGGAUAUGGAUUUAGUAGCAGUCAUAUUAGAAUAAAAGCGUAAAUGCUUACCAGGUGAGAGUGUUCAUGCAACAGAUGUACGAGGCUAUAGUAUAAGACCUAAGAGAUUUGGUGUUUU